AAAGUGCUGGGAUUACAGGCUUGAGCCACCGCGCCCGGCCACCAGUGUACUUUUUAUCCUGUUACUUAAGUGUUGAUGAUUACUGCUUAUAACUAGAAGGGGUAAAUGUGUUUCUCACAUAUUACAGAGUUUCAUGCACAUGGAAAUUUGAAGCAAAAAGAAAAAAAAAGGAGUGUAUUAAUCAAGAUUCUCCAGAGAAACAGGAACAAUAAGAAAUAUAUAGAAAUAUAGAGAUAUAGAGAGAUAGAGAAUAUAUGUCAAUCCAUGCAUUCAUCCAUCUAUCUGUGUAUCUAUCAUGUCUAUCCAUCCAUUCAUCUAUCAUCUGUCUAUCUAAUCUGUUUAUCUAUCUGUCUUUAUUAUACAGAAUUGCUUCAUGUGAUUAUGGAGGCUGACAAGUCCCAAGACUCACAGUUGGUAAGCUGGACACCCAAGAAAGCUGGUGCUGCACAUAUUACCAGUGAUGAGUUCCAGUCUGAAUCUGAAGGCCUGAGAACCAGGACAGUUGAUGGUCUAAAAGCCCAAGCAGCACACAGCAGGAGUUGACCAGAAAGGAGAGCUGGCAGGGGAAGAAUCUGUAAUUAAGCAAACAAGCAACAGCAGACAGUAUCCACGGGCAGCACCACCUGGACUGUCCUUCCAGCCAAUGCAAAUGUGACCUUCCAGAGGCCUGGGCAGGAGGGUGUUAGAGGCUUUAGCUGCCACGGCCGAAAUCACUUGGGGGAGAAGUGAGGAGCACUGGAGAGAGAUGACUUUGUUACAUGGACCGUUGUUCCCUGGGUAGAGACUGCAGGCCUGGUCUUCAAAGGCCUGCUGCUGUUUUGUGUGUUCAGAAGCAAUUUAGAAAAUGCUGUCAUGUCAACUUUAUUUCCUUGCUCUCUAGGGGUGCUCAGUGGUUGCCCAAAAAUAAUCCCCUAUAAGGCUGAAAGUUACUGUAAGUUGUUCACUGCACUGGGCUUAACUUCAAAUGUACAGGAGCCAGAAUUUUUAAUCAACUUUAUUUUAUAAAGCCUAUUGAUAUUUUUCUAAUUAUAAAAGAAAUGCACACUCAUGCUAAAAAAACUUGAAAUUUUAGACAAGUAUCAAACAAAUGAAAAAUCAUCUGUAAUGCAGGUUUUGUCUUAUAGUCACUAUAUAAUUUACUCUGAGUUUCUCAAGAAAUAUGCUCCAGUCUCUAUAUGUUUAUACUAAAAUGUAUUUUCUUUAGGGGCUUGAGUAUUUGAAGGAUUAGGCAUCUUGUGAGGCAUCAGCACCCUAAAACUAACACAUUGUUGCUUUUUGUCUUUUUUUAAUGCCAAUACAUAAAGCAAAAUUUUGGUGAAUUUAAGUGCUGUGAAUACUCUCCCCACAGUUCAUGAGUUCCUAAGACAGGGUUUCAGAUUUACUCGAUUUUUUAUUUUAUUUUAUUUUUGAGACAAGUUCUCACUCUGUUGCUCAGGUAGGAGUCCAGUGGCACAAUCGUGGCUCACUGCAGCCUCAACCUCCCAGGUUCGAUCGAUCCUCCCACCUCAGCCUCCCACGUAGCUAGGACUGCAAGUGCGUACUACUGUGCCCAGCUCGUUUUAAAUUUUUUUGGAGAGACAGCGUCUUGCUUUGCUGCCCAGGUUGCUUUCAAACUCCUGGGCUCAAGCAAUACUCCUGUCCUAGCCUCCCAAAGUGCUGGGAUUACAGGUGGGAGCCACUACGCUCAGCCAGAUUUACUUGGAUUUUGCUCUCUUCUGGACUUACCAAAUCCUUUUUAGGACUUAGUCCAUAGUUACACCCCUUAAAUAACUGUAAAACCAACUCUCUAUAAGAAGGAUAUUUACCAGGAGGCAAGAUCUACUGCUGAACCUGCAAAUGCUCAUAAAAGAAUGACACAGUGAAAGAAAGAGCUGAUGAAUGAGUGAAUAGAUUCAUGGAAAUAAAUUCUGUUGGGGUCUUUAGAAGCUGUACCUUAACUUUAAUUUUUUUUUCAUAAUUUACUAAAUGGGUAUAGAGUGCUUUCAUAGUAGUUCUCAACUUGGGUGGGGCCUGAUUUGCCUCUCAGGGGACCUUUUGGAAUAUGACAUUGGACAUUUUUGAUUGUCACGACUAGGGGGUGAGUAUGCCCUUUACCCAGUGCGUAAAGGCCAGGGAUGCUAUUAAACAUUCUGCAAUGCAUGGGCCAUCCCCGCAGAACAAAGAAGUACGAAACUGCCAAUUACUAAAAUGUUAAUAGAGCCUAGGCUGAGAAACCCUGGUGUAGCACAAAGGUGGGUACAUUUCAUUGAUUUUGUAGGGAAGAGUAGGGAACUAGAAGACUAUCACACUGAGCAGAGUGGCUACCUACAGGUCAAACACGAAGGAUUCCUGUGCAGAUAAAUAAGAUCAUAAAAGUGAUGAUAAAACAAUGCCAUCUCUUCUAUUAAGAAAAGAAAUCAUCUUUUUUUUCUUGGCACAGAUGGUCUUAGGCCUGUAAAUCUGCCAUUCUUUCAGUAAUCACAUGAAGAAAAGGGAUGAUUUAAAGCAGUUAUAUGGUUUAUCUUGCAGAAGGAAAGUGUGGGUGUGUGAAGAAGAAUAGUAAACAUAAAUUCUGUUUUACAUCUGAGAAGCAAAGCCAUUUAGAGUAUUACACAGCUUCUAUCGGAGCUAUGGCUGAAAGGGAGGUGUAAGAUAUGGUCAAUGAUUUGAAAUGAUUGAUGAGGAUUUCUGUAAAAGGAAUACAAAGGCCUGGGUAAAGCCAGGACUUUGUGAUGUGCCAUAAUAUAAUUUUAUACUGUUUUUCCCACAGUCAAAUAAAGUUCAGUAGUAUAGAUAAAUUGUUACCUUGUAUUAGUACUUCCUAGGUUGCCUGUCAGAAUGCUUUAUUCAAAGAGACAGAUUUAUAUUUCACAAGGAAAUGAUUUCUAAAGCUCUUACAGUUAAUAAUUUUUCAUCUAGAGAAAAGCCAGAUUCAGCCAUUCCACCCAGAGAUUGGGAGAUUAGCCCAGAAUGAGCUCAGUACAUGAAAUACUUUUUUCUGAUAUUUAAAUAAGGAAUCAUAUCUUAAUGUUGUGGAAGAGAGCACAGAAAAAUGACUGUUUUUUUAUUACAUAACAUUUCUACUUAUGUCCUCCUUUGGUUUUUUUAUGGCUCUGAAAUCAGAUGAUUGAGAAUAUCCCUAAUAAUUCAUGUUACCCAAGCAUUUAUCUGUUGAUACAACAUACUUUAUCAGCAAAUAUUUACAGGGUAUCCAGUCAAGUCAUUUCUAGAGAGAAAAACUCAUACAUAGGAAGUAAUAAUAUACUGUUUUCCUGAAACAACCUUUUUCUUCCUUCUUCUCUUUCUCUUCAUUAAUCAAUUCCUUUAUUUCUACAACUGUUAUGACGCACCUACAGUUUUCUGGUACUGAGCUAUUAAUGUUGUCAGAGAACAAACAAAAAUCAUUCUGGUUCCUGGCGCUGAGCACUGUCCAAGAUGCUGAAUGGAUGGAGUCAGCAAGCUCAGGUGGAAGAAUUUGUGUAUAGAGAAGAAUGGUUUAUUGGAAAAACCAACCGAACAAACAAAAACUGGAUCAGAAACUGCGGACCCUCGUUUUUAUCCAGUAUCGUGGCCCAUCACCUCUGUGGCUUUGACUAAAUUGUUUAAACAUUCCUAUGUAAUUCUUUUCCAAAUGGAAAGUUAAAGUCCUACUGAAGUGAGAUUCAUUGUUUGAUAAAAGGGUAGGCUCUGAUAAACACUUAAUGCAAUUCACUUCAAUAAGAAUUCAUAGAGCAACUACACUGAACUAAGCACACAUGGAAUAGAAGUUAGAACUGAGAUACAAUAAGGAAUGAGUCCUUGCCAUCGGAGAAUUAGCAACUAGAAAAAUAAAUAUAUGAACACAUACUUGACUGUCAAACUAAAAGAAACCUGUUCUUCUCACAACACAUGAUGUAACAGAAGAAAACUGUAUAUCCAAUUUGCUAGUGAACAUAUAUAUUCCCAUGUGUUCUAUGCACGUAUACAGAGGCUAAGCUAUUUAGAUGACCCUGAAUGGAAUAUCUCCCACUUGUCUUCUCAGAUCCACUUCCUACCCUUUUCUCUUUGUCUUGUGCCAUGAGAGGCUGACCUGUAUAGGCUACAUUAAAGGGAAGAAGGAGAGUGGGGAGUGAGGUCUGGGUAUUUAAUCCCUUAGAUGCUUACUGCAACUUGCUGCAGGCUUGCUCUUUCGCCCGAAGUUUUCAGUGGCCACAGGAUGGCCCUCUGUACACAGUCCUGCCCAAUUUGAGCAAACUGUUCUCUCCUCUUACUCCAUCAGCCCUAGGGACAGAAAUAGAGCAUCAGGGUACUGUAAUACCUUCCAUGAGUCCAACAGUCACACCUUCCAUGGGUUUUAUACCUUCUUUCUCAUGUUUUAGAAGAGGCAUUUUAUUAAACUCUCCUCAAAUCAUCCUAAUUUCAAAGUGCCACAUGUUUUCAGGUGGGAUCCCGCUUUUAUAGACUUCAUAUCACCUUAUAGGAGUACCAUGUUACCAUUUAUUGGACACUUGCUAUAUACUGACUGAUAAAAGUGCUAGGCAAAUGUUCUCUUCUAAUAUUUUAAUAAGAAAUAGAGAAUCACCAACUUUAUUGGACAUCUGCUAUAUACUGACCAAUAAAAGUGCUAUGCAAAUUUUCUCAUUUAAUAUUCUAAUAAGAAAUGGAGAGUCACUAACUUUCUUUUUACCUACCUGGAAUCAAAGAACAAAAUGUGGCUGUUAAAAGAGGCCAUUUGGGGCUAGGCACAGUGGCGCAGGCCUGUAAUUACAGCACUUUGAGAGGCAGAGGCAGGCAGAUCAGUUGAGGCCAGGAAUUUGGGGGAAAUAAUAAUUUCCUUAUUAGAGUCUAUGUAAUUUUACCAAGAUCAUCAAAGUCCUUAGUAAAUUUCCGCUUACAAUAUAAAUGAUGUCCCAUUAUAAGGCCCAAAAUUCUAGAGCAAUGGAGAAUGAGGUUUGGGAGGUAGGCAGGCAUCUCAUUAUGAUAAAGGUGAUGAUAAUAACCUUGUCAUUUGGGGGAUUUUAUUUUACUUUAUUGCCUUAAAAUUCAAUGCAGAAAAGUUGUUGACAGUGGG
ensembl:lncRNA